rnacentral:rRNA from 1 species
UACGAGUGGUGCAAGCGUUAUUCGGAAUCAUUGGGCGUAAAGGGUGCGUAGACGGCAUAUUAAGUCUGUUGUUAAAUCCCUCGGCUUAACCGAGGAUAUGCGGCGGAUACUGAUGUGCUAGAGGAUGGAAGAGAGAAGUGGAAUUCUCGGAGUAGCGGUAAAAUGCGUAGAUCUCGAGAGGAACACCGAUGGCGAAGGCAGCUUCUUGGUCCAUUCCUGACGUUGAGGCACGAAAGCGUGGGGAGCAAACAGGAUUAGAUACCCUGGUAGUCCACGCUGUAAACGAUAAUCACUAGACGUUGGUUCUGUUUUACGGGAUCAGUGUCGAAGCUAACGCGUUAAGUGAUUCGCCUGGGAAGUACGGUCGCAAGAUUAAA